UACGUAGGGAGCAAGCGUUGUUCGGAUUUACUGGGCGUAAAGGGCGCGUAGGCGGCGCGGUAAGUCACUUGUGAAAUCUCUGAGCUUAACUCAGAACGGCCAAGUGAUACUGCAGUGCUAGAGUGCAGAAAGGGCAAUCGGAAUUCUUGGUGUAGCGGUGAAAUGCGUAGAUAUCGGGAAGAACACCCGUGGCGAAGGCGGCUCUCUGGAACGCAACUGACGCUGAGACGCGAAAGCGUGGGGAGCAAACAGG
rnacentral:rRNA from 1 species